ACCUAUAUAUAUAUUAGGCGGCAGUUUUAUCCCUACAUUUAUUUUAUUUACAGUAUCGUGUAAGUUUAUUACUCAUACAUCGAAUUUAUUUUUAUUUUAAAGUAUGGAGUAGAAUUAGUACCCAUUCAAGUACAUUUAUUUUAUCGCACAUGUACUUUAUUAUUUAAAGUAUGGUGCAAAAUUAACGUCCAUACAACAAGCAAUUAAUUUAUGAAUUUAUUUUACCUUACUUUUAUUUAAAGUGUGGUGUAGGUUUAUCAUCUAUACAAGCAACAUUUAUUUUGUGAAUUUAUUUUACAAGUUCAUUAUGAUGAAUUGUAGAUCAUGCAAGAAAUCAGAAAGUUCCUUGAUGAUGAAAUAAUAUGAGAGCUAACAGUCUCUUUGGUAUUAUAUUUGUGAAAAAGUGAUCGGACAUGGAGAUCAGGUUGGAGUUGGCUCGCUUAAGGAUGCGGAAAUAGGAAGUCUGGAGCAGAAACGACCGGUCGUCAGUUCCGGAAACGACUGGUCGCCCAAACCCGAGAGCAACGAGUUAGUCCCCUAAAAACACUGCCAGGCUUCUUGCUAAAAUGACCACUGCUGAAUCUUUCCUUCUUUCAUUGUCGGAGUCUUGCACAAAGUUACCGAAAAGGCAUCGGAAAGGAGUGGCCCAAGAUUUCUCACAUCCCAAACAUCACAUUUGGCCCUGAUCAUGAUGAUGAGGAUGAGGAUGAUGGGAUUCUACAAGAAAAGGAUGUGGCAAUCUUAUCCACCUCUUCUGUAGCUCAGCAUGAUAUUCUUGAAGAAGCAAUGUCGACGUAAGAUAUCCCAUCUUCUCUAGGCUUCCCUCGCCUCAUCAUCUUGUACCAUCAAAAGGGCGGACGCACAAGGGAGCAAAGGGGGUCACUGACCUACUGUUUUCAGAAAAUUUGUUCUCUGAGUUUUUGAACACCGGUCACCACCUCAUCUCUGGAGCUUGAAGUAAUCAGAGAGCUUUAGCGAACCAAUGGGAGCGCAUGGAGCAUGAUGAAUGUGGUUUGCCUUUAUAAAUGCAGAAAAAGCAUGAAAGGAGAAGGCGAAAAACCAGUGCGAGAAAUCAGAAUGAGGAGCUACAGAGGUUACAUUUAGCCUCUGAGAUGAAAAUACUGUUAUGCAAGGAACAUUACCCUCACAACAAGAGUUACAGGAUAAGAAAAGAAAAUCAUGUCUUGUGUAAGUUGUGUUAUAGUGCAUUUAUGCUAUAUGUUAAGCAAUGUUUUAUUAUGUGGCUUGAAACAGCUUUUGCCUUAAAAAAAUUCUAUCACUUCGUGUUAAAUUUCUAUGAAUAAUUCUUCAAAAUUC